rnacentral:misc_RNA from 1 species
AAGUCGUAACAAGGUUUCCGUAGGUGAACCUGCGGAAGGAUCAUUACAAAUAAAGCUAGGUAGGAAGUGGGGUCUUUGAUCUGUAAGUGGUAGAGCGAAGCAGUCCCGGCUGCCUCCCGAAAUGUCUUACAUGUCCCCCCACAGCCUGAAGGCCGAAUUACAACCCUUGAUUAAUCUACACUUUGUUGCUUUGGGGGUGCUCAAGUGCCCCAGAGGACCCCUAACUCUCGUUGCAUUUAGUGACCGUCUGAGUUACAUAUAUAAUAUUUCAAAA